rnacentral:rRNA from 1 species
CAAUAGCGUAUAUUAAAGUUGUUGCGGUAAAAAAGCUCGUAGUUGGAUUUCUACCGAAGAUAGCCGGUCGGGUCUUCGACCUUGUAUCUGGUUUUGUCUUUGGUAUCCUCAUAGGGAACGUUUCUGCGCUUUAUUGCGUGGUGCGGUAUCUAUGACUUUUACUUUGAGGAAAUUAGAGUGUUCACGGCAGGCAAACGCCUUGAAUAUAUUAGCAUGGAAUAAUAACAUAGGAUCUUCGUCCUAUUUUGUUGGUUUCUAGGGCUAAGAUAAUGAUUAAUAGGGAUAAUUGGGGGCAUCUGUAUCAACGCGUCAGAGGUGGAAUUCUUGGAUUGCGUUGCGACAAACUGCUGCGAAAGCGUCUGCCAAGGAUGUUUUCAUUGA